GGGCUUGUACUGGUUUCGACGGGGGCUUUGAAGUUGGGGAAGCCAUCCGCAGACUCUUGGACUGCGUACCAACCAGGAACCUAAAUAUAAACGCAAACGAACAGUACGCGUUAGCAGCCUAAGUGCUGCUCGUCAGUCCUGACGCACUCACACAUCAGGAAUCUGGCGCCGACUAUGUGAGAAACCUUGCCGGGUAAGCUUUGCCCCGGUAGAUGUAUUAUGAAGCUACUGAAGCAGUAAGCCUGUCGGUGGGCGUACUGCCAAGGGAAUGUUAAAUCAGCGACUGUGAUGGGAGAUGCCGCAAGGGAUAGGCUUUCGGACGCGGGUUCAAUUCCCGCCAGGUCCACU
rnacentral:tmRNA from 1 species